rnacentral:rRNA from 1 species
GUAUUCCUACGGGGGGCAGCAGUGAGGAAUAUUGGUCAAUGGCCGGAAGGCUGAACCAGCCAAGUCGCGUGAGGGACGACUGCCCUAUGGAUUGUAAACCUCUUUUGUCAGGGAGCAAAGGGCGCCACGUGUGGCGUUUUGCGAGUACCUGAAGAAAAAGCAUCGGCUAACUCCGUGCCAGCAGCCGCGGUAAUACGGAGGAUGCGAGCGUUAUCCGGAUUUAUUGGGUUUAAAGGGUGCGCAGGCGGAAUGUCAAGUCAGCGGUAAAAUUUCGGGGCUCAACCCCGUCGUGCCGUUGAGACUGG